rnacentral:lncRNA from 1 species
AUAGUGGUCAAGAGAGACAAAGUGAUGUCACCAAAGUCAACCAACUUGUAAGUCGCUAAAGGAUCUGUACUUAGUUUUUCAUAUCCAGGUCAUUUCUCAAAUCAGUUUUCACUUUCUGAGAAUUUUAUAAGUUUUAUAAACUUGUAAGUUUUAUCAGUUAGAACAUGAGGUUGGGUGGUGGCUCAUGUCUGUAAUCCCAGCACUUUGGGAGGCUGAGGCGGGAGGACUGCUUGAGGCCAGGAAUUUGAGAUCAGCUUGGGCAACACAGUGAGACUCUGUCUCUACAAAAAUAAAAUAAAAUAAAAAUUAGUCAGGUACAGUGGCUUGUGCUUGUAGUCCCAGCUACUUGGAAGGCUGAGGUGGGAGGAUCGCUUGAGCCCAAGAGUUCAAGGCUACAGCGAGCUAUGAUCGCACCACUGCACUCCAGCCUGGGCUACAGAGCAAGACCCUGUCUCAAAAAUAAAGAACAUAUGCCACUUGUGGUAGUCAUCAUAUGGUAGGGAACACCCUUCAGAUGUUGACCCCAGCAGCCAUGCCUAUAGGCCAGGUCAGAAACAACCAACGUGCUCAAAAUAGAAACUCCUUAUCAACCACUGGUCACUGGGGUUGAGAGCACCAUGUAUAAGACCACAGCAUUUGUUAUGUGGCCAGCACCAAUAAGGCAGAAAAUGAGGAAGAUCAGAAAGAGGUAAGAAGGUCAUAAGUGGCUGUGAGCAACCAAUGGCUACUCGGUGAACAAGAGAUGAGGGUCCUUGUGCCCAUCUUGAUGGAAAUUUUGGGUGGAAGGGGCUGGCUAAUUUUGACAACAUUUUUUUUUUUUUAGGCACGGGAGCCCCAAGCAGGUCGUCUACCACCCUCACACCUUUCUUUGCUUCCUGCAUACAUGGGUUUUCAACACUGUGCAUAGAAGUAAAGUCCAACACUGGAAACUCUUUGUUCCUGCUUUCUUGUACUUGAGCCUACACAACACACAUUCUCAAUAGAUCUCUGCCAGGUGGAUAAAGCAGAGUAAGGCUUUCAGACUGUAUGACUCAUCAAGAGGAAAGCUGUGUGGGUACCAUCUUUCUUGGCUCCCUUCGGGAUGCAGAUCAUGAUGGCAUCCAUGGAAAGCAUCAGAGCACAACAGACAUUUCUCCUACCUUAGGCUCUUGGAAAUGGAUCAGGGUCAGCUCAUCUCUGGUCUUUUAUUUAGGAGCUCUAGCGUGGUCCCAUCCAGGAAUAUGGUGGGAUAUAUAUUUCAGAUAUUAAUUUGUUUUGUUUUCUUUCUUUCCCCCAUUUCAAACCAGGAGCAGGUGCUUUGGGUUGUGUUGAGAAGCAGUAGCCUGAAGUAACUGUUUUUUCUGUCUUUUGUAAAAGCCUAAGCUAACGAAAAGAUUAAAGUGACAUGCCAAAGCAGGGGAGGUGAGGAAUGUGUUUAAUGUCAUGAGGAAAGUGGGAGUGUAAAGCUUAUUUCAGUUAAAAGAGAUAGAAACCCAACUCAAACUGGUUUAAGGAAAAAAAAGAAUUUAUUUGCUUAAAUAACACAAGAAUCCAGAGAUAGUUCUGGCUUCAGGGAUGACUUGAUCCAAAAGCUAAAGUGAUGUUAACAGAACUGUCUUCCUUUCUCAGCUUCCUUUCUUCUAGGAUGGCUUGAUCAGGAGGCUCUUCAGGUGUGGCUGCCAGCAGUACCAAACUUUUCCUUACAACUUAGCAACUCUAUUCCAGCAAAGUCCCAGGCUAGUCACAUGCCAUGCUAAUUUCUGAAUCUGUCACCAUGACUCUGUCCAAGUCUGGCUUCUGUCGAGCUCUGAAGCCAGAACGUGAAAUUGGCCCCAUGAAACCACAUGGCCCGAAGGAUUUAUAGAAAUCUAUAUGAAUGAAUCCAUUUCAAUGUCUGGUCUGCAAGAGUACGAAGACUUGACUUCACAUACUACUUGAUGGGAUGGUUUAAUCCUGGGUUAGAGUGCUGACUGGCUAGAGGGAGUUUUCCCCCAUCAGCCCUGUAUGCACUGGACCUCCAAGACAACAAUGAAAUUAAAGACAAUUUAAUGGUUUGGGUAAUAGAUACAAAUAAAACCUUAAAUUUUGUAAUCUUAAA